CCAGCCUCGCGCUAGGCGCCGAAGGGGGAGGCAGGUAGGAAGACACCCGCUACCGCCUGCUUCAGUGUCCCGAUCUAAAGGGAAGAAACCAAGGUCCCCAGGACACCCAGCUGAGUGGCGGAGGUCGAACUCGAACUCGGGACCGAGGCGGAGGGCGUCCCGGCUGGUGCUGGAGGGGCACGCGGCGUGCAAGUCCCCGGGCGCCCCCAUUCCGCCCAUCCCCCGCCCAAUCCUCAAGAAUGUGCGGGAGCCGGGGCCGGAAGCGACUGCCCGCGUCCCCAACUCAGCCAGACGCUGGGGCGCAGGGCGGACGGAGCGGGCCCAGCUUUUCCUUAUAAGGCCCGGCCCCGCGGGGAGGAGCCUGGCUCGGGACGCCCCCGUUCUUGCCACGAGGCCAGCGGGGGCCGGGCCGGCGCGCGGGGCGCAGUAAUGGCGGGCGCCGGGUGCUGGAGGAGCCGCUCCCGGGGUCGGAAAGGCUUCGAGCGGCACCGAUCCUGAGACCGGGGCAGGUUCUCAUCUGUCCUUUCCCAGAGAUUCAACCACUGCUCCAGCUUCUUCUCGGAAACUCUUUUCCAGCGCCGCCUGAGCCUCGCAUGAGAGAGGGAGGUGGCGGCUGAAGAACCCUGAGCCUGCCUGUGGACACCUUGAGAUGAGGAUGCGCGGGAUCCUGGCCUGGCAUUCCCUCUUUUUGGACCGCGCUGCCUCUACGACCCCCACUGGGACUUGGACUUCCUGAGGGGAGGUCAAACUGCCUGGUGGGCACCUUUGGAAACCCAACCCCAUCCCCUCCAGGCUGCACACAUCCUGCGGUAUAGGAAGGUACACUGUGUCUUCCGAUUUUUGGAGCCAGCUCUGCUGUUCAGACCUCCUGAAGCCAGGUGUCCAGGCACCCAGCACCUCCUGCCAAUUCAUACAGAAUUCAAUUCCCCACCUGGAAGGGCUUUCAGAAGGUGACCUGCCCAACCUCCGGAUUUCAGGCAAACUGAGAGGAUUGGAGACGGCCAAGGAUUUGUCACCAAGCAAGGAGGAAGCCAAAGACUUAGAGGACAGAGAAGGAUGUAAUCAAAAUCUUCGUCAUCUCCAGCUUCCGAAGCUCCCUUCCAAAGUGCCCUCAAGGGCCUGGAACACUCUCAGUGACAGAGGCAAGAGCCCCAUCUUGCCCCAGUGCUGCCCAUCAAAAUGUACCCCUAAAUCCUGGCCCAGCCUCCCAGCGCAGAUCUCUCCUUCCUCCUGUAGCCCCAACUAAUGUCUGUCUGGAAUUUGAGGGGCCCUGGUCUGGCACACUGUGGAUGCUUAGUUAAUGUAUGGUGACUGACUAAUGUAUGGCCCCAGGACUGCUCCCUACCUCCUGUUGAUUCAUCUUUCAAUCAUCCCUUCCCUCUCUUCAGAACAGUCACUUGGGAAGUCACCCCAUACAGUGCAUGGGUGGGGGGGCGGUGAGGUUUACCGCUCCACACAGUUGGGGUGUGUGGGUCCCAGCCUGUUCAAGUCACCGCUUGCUCCUCCUCCCAUCCUGGUAGGCUCAGAGGUGUCAACCUCCCAAUCUCUGCCUGUUAGGAUCCUUGCCUCUUACCUAGUUACUCUGUCUGGAUUAAACCUCUUCAAGACUG